UACGAAGGGUGCAAGCGUUACUCGGAAUUACUGGGCGUAAAGGGUGCGUAGGUGGUUCUUUAAGUCUGCUGUGAAAGCCCCGGGCUCAACCUGGGAAUGGCAGUGGAUACUGGAGAGCUAGAGUGCGGUAGAGGGUAGUGGAAUUCCCGGUGUAGCAGUGAAAUGCGUAGAGAUCGGGAGGAACACCAGUGGCGAAGGCGACUUUCUGGCCUGUUCUUGACGCUGAGGCGCGAAAGCUAGGGGAGCAAACGGG
rnacentral:rRNA from 1 species